UACGAAGGGGGCUAGCGUUGUUCGGAAUUACUGGGCGUAAAGGGCGCGUAGGCGGUGUGUCAAGUCAGGCGUGAAAGCCCCGGGCUCAACCUGGGAACAGCGCUUGAGACUGGCACGCUCGAGUUCGGGAGAGGAUGGUGGAAUUCCCGAGUGUAGAGGUGAAAUUCGUAGAUAUUGGGAAGAACACCGAUGGCGAAGGCAGCCAUCUGGACCGACACUGACGCUGAGGCGCGAAAGCGUGGGGAGCAAACAGG
rnacentral:rRNA from 1 species